AUAAAUCAACACUGAAUUUAAUCUGCCAUCGAGUCGAUCAUUCACCUAACUUGUUUAUUUUCUUCAGAAGCUUCUUAUUACCCUCUCUGGACUUGAUUAACCUGAAUAAUUUUGUGUCACCUGCAAAUUUUAUCACUUCAAUGCUCAUCCCUUUUUCCAGUUCAUUAAUAAAUAUAUUAAAUUAUGCCACUCCUUCUGCAGAAUAUCAUGGCACUUGGAUGUCAAAUUCUACCACUGUAUAAACAGACAAUUCAGUUCUUCCUCCUUUUUGUGUCUCCUACUCAGGUUGAUCCAUAAUAAAAAGCUGAGAUCUCUUUUGACGGCAAGUCAUAGGAAUUUCUAUUUGUGUCUUUAGUUUUGUGGCUUCAAUUUUUAUUUUUAUUUUUUCUUUUUUUUCCCCCUAGGUUCAAGUGAUUAAGCAGCUUAGUUUAUUCAUAUUUUUAUGGCAUAGUCAAUGAGUUCUCACAGAUAAAUGGGUAUGGGAAUGUACUGUUGUACACAGAAAUUAGAAAAACUCUGCUUACCAAAUCAGGUUCAUUUAAGAGUGGGGCUUAUAUUAUAAUGAUUCUAGAGUGCAUGCUACUGAGAACUUUGAGCACGUCACUGUGGCUCCUCACUUAAAAUGUUUAUAUGAAAGAGUUAAUUGAAUUCUCUCCAUUCGUGUUGCUCUCGUAUUUGUCAUUUGUUUAGGGGGACACUCAGUACACUUGUAGCAUCUUUUAGCCCUGCAGGGCUUCAUUUUUAGAAGUAAACAAGCAACCUGUUUCCCCACCUGACACGUAAUUGCUCCCUAGGAUAGCCUGGCAAGCAAAAUCAUUACCAGUACUGGGAGGCUAAGUUUCUCGUUCCUAUAAAGAAGGAUUUGUGGUUGUUAGUUCAGACAUAAAAAUUCUCUGUAUUUCUAACUAGCAGAUUUCCUGGGUUCUCUGCCCCUUGAGAGCAAGUUAUCAGUUCAAUGAAGGCCAAAGAAUGGGCCAUAAUACUACUCGGAAUGUAACCAGACUGUAGGCAGGUAUGUCAGAACUACCUGUCUUCCCUCUGAAAGAUGAGACCCUGCUCUGUUGGUGUCCUUCUCUGCCUGAAGAUGAAAGUGAAAUUAAUAGCAAUAUCAGAGUCUUCCACUGGCUGAAACAAGAUGAGUUUUCUGAAGCCCAAAGAUAUUUUGGAAGGUGGAAAAGGAAAUGAGUAACGGAGAAUGGAAGGAAUUACUUAAUGCACUUGCUGACUAUAUUUUAGUACUUAAAAUAUCCUGGGAAUGUUUAUUGAGUUUGCAAAAGAUUUAGUAAAGGGAGUCAACUGGAAGCUAUAAAAGCUUCACUGAAUCCCUAAAACUGGAAACUCACCCUCUAAGUUAUAUAAAUAGAUGUGGGCUCAUGAGGGAUCUCAUCCACGUGCAUGAUGGGAGCAAAUGAAGAAUGAGGAGCCAGAAUCUUCUCAGUAGUGCCCACUGACAGGACAAAAGGCAGUGCAUGCACACUGAAAAGCAUGGAAUUUAAUCUGAACACAAGGAAACAUUUUGUAAUAUGAGGGUGGUCAAAUACUAUUGUGGGCUGCCUAGAGAGAUUAUGGAGUCCAUCUACGUGGUGGUGCUCAAAACCCAAAUGUACAAAGGCAGCCUGCUUAAGCCAGGGAUAGCACCUGAUGAUCUCAAGAGGCCUGUUCCAACCUAAACAAUUUUCUGAUUCUGUGCAAAUGCAUACAGAAUAUUUAAUGAUUAUUAUUUAGAAUGAUUUAAUGAUAGCUAUGCUUACUAAUAGGACAGGAACUAGUUAGCAUGUUAAACAGAAACGAAAGCCAGCCAGACCAAACAGCGUAUGAAAGUAGUUCAGCCUGAUGAAGUCUGGAACUUCCAAACUGCUUAAAUAACUCUUUCGGUCAAUCCUUCAAAAUUUCUGAGAUGUUUCCAUACAUUUACAAAAAGCACACCAAGUGCCUCUUCUCGGUGCAUAGAGUUAGUCCAGUUACACAGAUCUGGUAAUUAAUUUAACCUGCCAGAAUUUUGAAUAAUCAACUCUAUAUCUUGCUUUUGUGAAGAAGUGAAAGAAGUGGUAAAUCCAUCCUUUACUGAAUUAGCCAGAAAAAAUUCAGUUACUUGUGUCAGUGUAGCUAAAUCCC
ensembl:lncRNA